CCAAAGUGAGAUUGUUUGUUUUUAUUUGUUUGCUUGUUGGGAAUAUUCUCUCUCUCUCUCUCCAUAUAAAGCAGAACUUGAGUUCUCAUUGGAUUAUUUUGUGGCUGGAAUUUGGUGAGAUGAAUGUUGGAUUGGAAGAUUAGGAGGAGGGUUAAAAAUCUAUAGGCAUUGUUCAUGAUGACUUGGUCCUAACUAGUUGCAGUUUAAGUCUUUGAUUUUUAGAGCGAGAAAAUAUCACAGUAAGGAUGGUCCAGCUUGUCGAUGGGUUGUCGGCGUUGGAGAUAUCGCUAGAAAGGAAGAUGGAGGAGGUGAUGAAAAAAAACUUCAUCGCUGGAAAUCGUCUCUAGCAGCAGAUUGCAACGGCUAAUGGAGAAUAUCCGCACAUGGAGGAUGAAUCUUGUGGGGAAGUUGUAAGAUAAGAGAGGUGAGACCCGAAGAAUUUAAUAGUAAAUAAUAGUGGUCCAUCAAGAACCAUAUGAAGUAGUAGUUCAACCAAGAAAUGUUAAAAAAAAUUGAGUGUAUGUAUGUUAUAUUAUUUAAUAAAAUAUUAUAAUAGUUAAUUGCA
rnacentral:lncRNA from 1 species